UAAGACGUACGAUGUUUAAUUAACUGGAAAUAGCGGCACUUGGUCCAGGUAUGUAUUUAAACCAGGUAUACAGUUUUAUUAAAUUAACACUUUAUGAUUUUACCAGCUGGUAUAUGAAGAUUGCCCAAACGCCGCAAAGUUAAUACUUAAUUAAAAGAAGUUAAAACUUGUUACGAACAAAAUUUUAAAAAAUGGUUCGCACUAAUCGUUGUUAAAAUACAGCCGUCUCACUGUUUUAGUUCUUUGCAUGCCCGAUAAUUGAAAACUAUAGAAAAUUUUAAAUAUAGAAUCGAUCUAAAUUGGUCAAAUUUGGCAAAUAUUUUGCCACUCGUGUUAGCUCAUAAGUUGUCAGCAACAGUCUGACACAAAAUUUACAGCACUGUAAAGCACUGUGCACGCAAAGCUUUCAAUUUUUCAUCGAAAAUCCGCUGGGAAAAUGAGCCUGCUGUACUGGGAGAAAACUUUUGCGGAAUUUUGCGGAAUAUGACCAACGUGAAACCGCACAGCCUAAAAGAUAUAUGUAAUGAUUACCCUUUUUUCUUUUAGAAUUAGUUCUGUCAUGAUUUUGUGCUGAAUAUUUCUGCGUCUGCAAUGUCUGUGGUAGAUAAUGCAUUAUGGAAGCUAUAAUAACCAACAAAGAUGAAUUUCAUUUCAGAUUUUUGGAGAAACAAUCUCAGUACGAAAGGAAAUAGACUACUGUUUGCACUUGCAACUUGUUUUGUCAUUGUAAUCUUUCUAGUUAGGGGUAACAUUGUUAAAUAUGGUGGAACGUAUGAUGAACAGGGAAAUAAUUCGAGGCGUGAAGUAAAAUCAUUGAAUGGAGAUAGCAAACAUUUGUCAAACGUAGAAAAUUCUGUCGAAAAGCGUAAGAUUUUGAAACCUUGGGAACAACUUCGUUUGCCUAGCAAUAUCCGACCAAAACAUUAUGAUUUGUUAAUCCAAGUAAACUUGAAUGAAUUGACAUUUUCUGGAAAAUCGAGUAUAUCUUUCCACGUAACUAAAUCAACGAAUACUAUUAUAUUUCAUACAAAUAAACUGACAAUUAAUACAGUUCUAGUACUUGGUUCGUCCGAAGGAAAACCUUUCAAGAUAAGAAAACAAUUCGAAUAUAAGAAAAAUCAGUUUUUUGUUGUGGAACUGGUUUACAAACUUAAAAUUGGUGAAUACAAAUUAAAGUUAAACUUUGAUGGUGAUAUUGAAACCAAAGAAUUAAAUGGAUUCUAUAGAAGUACUUAUAAAAAUAACGAUGGAAAAACAAG